rnacentral:rRNA from 1 species
UGGGGAAUUUUGGACAAUGGGCGAAAGCCUGAUCCAGCAAUGCCGCGUGUGUGAAGAAGGCCUUCGGGUUGUAAAGCACUUUUGUCCGGAAAGAAAUGGCUCUGGUUAAUACCUGGGGUCGAUGACGGUACCGGAAGAAUAAGGACCGGCUAACUACGUGCCAGCAGCCGCGGUAAUACGUAGGGUCCAAGCGUUAAUCGGAAUUACUGGGCGUAAAGCGUGCGCAGGCGGUUGUGCAAGACCGAUGUGAAAUCCCCGAGCUUAACUUGAGAAGUGCAUUGGUGACUGCACGGCUAGAGUGUGUGAGAGGGGGGUAGAAUUCCACGUGUAGCAGAGAAAUGCGUAGAGAUGUGGAGGAAUACCGAUGGCGAAGGCAGCCCCCUGGGAUAACACUGACGCUCAUGCACGAAAGCGUGGGGAGCAAACAGG